rnacentral:rRNA from 1 species
AUGUGGUGGGCCUUGGAGAAACACAAAGUCCCAGCAAAGUACAUUACCCUCAUCAAGGACAUGUACGAUAAUGUUGUGACAAGUGUUCGAACAAGUGAUGUCGACACUGAUGACUUCCCGAUUAAGAUAGGACUGCAUCAGGGGUCAGCUUUGAGCCCUUAUCUUUUUGCAUUGGUGAUGGAUGAGGUCACAAGGGAUAUACAAGGAGAUAUCCCAUGGUGUAUGCUCUUUGCGGAUGCUGUGGUGCUAGUUGACGAUAGUCGGACGGGGGUAAAUAGGAAGUUAGAGUUAUGGAGACAAACCUUGGAAUCGAAAGGGUUUAGGCUUAGUAGAACUAAAACCGAGUACAUGAUGUGCGGUUUCAGUACUACUAGGUGUGAGGAGGAGGUUAACCUUGAUGGCCAGGUGGUACCUCAGAAGGACAACCUUUCGGUAUUUGGGGUCAAUGCUGCAGGAGGAUGGGGGUAUUGA